UUUCCGGUUGAUCCUGCCGGACCUGACUGCUAUCGGAUUGAUACUAAGCCAUGCGAGUCUUUGCAGUAAUGCAAGGCAUACGGCUCAGUAACACGUAGUCAACUUACCCUAUGGACGAGGAUAAUCUCGGGAAACUGAGCAUAAUACUCGAUAGAUCAUAAUGCCUGGAAUGGUUUAUGGUUGAAAUGAUUCGUCGCCAUAGGAUGGGACUGCGGCCUAUCAGCUUGUUGGUGAGGUAAUGGCCCACCAAGGCGAUUACAGGUACGGGCUCUGAGAGGAGAAGCCCGGAGAUGGGUACUGAGACAAGGACCCAGGCCCUAUGGGGCGCAGCAGGCGAGAAAACUUUGCAAUGUGCGAAAGCACGACAAGGUUAAUCCGAGUGAUUUCUGCUAAAGAAAUCUUUUGCAAGUCAUAAAACCACUAGUGAAUAAGGGGUGGGCAAGUUCUGGUGUCAGCCGCCGCGGUAAAACCAGCACCUCAAGUGGUCAGGAGGAUUAUUGGGCCUAAAGCAUCCGUAGCCGGCUCUGUAAGUUUUCGGUUAAAUCCAUGUGCUCAACGCAUGGGCUGCCGAAAAUACUGCAUAGCUAGGGAGUGGGAGAGGUAGACGGUACUCGGUAGGAAGGGGUAAAAUCCUUUGAUCUAUCGAUGACCACCUGUGGCGAAGGCGGUCUACCAGAACACGUUCGACGGUGAGGGAUGAAAGCUGGGGGAGCAAACCGGAUUAGAUACCCGGGUAGUCCCAGCUGUAAACGAUGCAGACUCGAUGAUGCAUUGGCAUAUAGCCAGUGCAGUGUCGCAGGGAAGCCGUUAAGUCUGCCGCCUGGGAAGUACGUACGCAAGUAUGAAACUUAAAGGAAUAGGCGGGGGAGCACCACAAGGGGUGAAGCCUGCGGUUCAAUUGGAUUCAACGCCGGGA
rnacentral:rRNA from 1 species